rnacentral:rRNA from 1 species
CAAUAGUGUAUAUUAACGUUGUUGCAGUUAAAAGGCUCGUAGUCGAAUUUGUGGCACUGACUUCUAGACCCAUUGUCUAGCACAUUGGUUUGUCCUUGAGGUCUUGCCAUCCUUUCGGAGCGCACUUCUUGCUCUUCACUGAGUGGCUGUGUAAUCCGAAUCCUUUACUGUGAGUAAAUCAAAGUGUUUAAGGCAGGCGUGAUAGCUUGAAUGUAUUAGCAUGGAAUAAUGAGAUAGGACUUCAAUUCUAUUUUGUUGGCUUCUAGAACUGAAGUAAUGAUUGAAAGGGAUAGUUGGGGGUGCUAGUAUUUAACGGUCAGCGGUGAAAUGCUCGGACCCGUUAAAGACUAACUUAUGCGAAAGCAUUCACCAAGGAUAUUUNCUUUGA